rnacentral:lncRNA from 1 species
UGUCUGGUUAUAGGAAUUCCCUUCCAAACUCUAUGGUUACAAUCUAAUGCACAUAUUAACUAGACCUUUUGAAUUAUAUAAAUAACGUCUUCGUUGAAGAGGUCGAAUCAAGAGAUGCUCUAACAAAAUCAAAAGAAGAGUUAUACUAACCAGUGUCCCAAAGACAUCGGUUAAGGAAGUUAUAAAAAAUAAUAUUGCGAAACUAAGGUGUUCCAAACUAAAAAUUGAAGGAGGCCGUGAACAAAUUCGAAGAGAGGUUAAAAUGCGAGAUCAAUCUUCUAAUGACAACAAUCCAAGAAUCCGUUUCAAAAAUAACUUGAGAUAAAUCCAGACUACCAUAACAUGGAGGAGCCUAAAGGGAGCGAUUCUUUAACAUGUAUCCGCAUGUAUGGAGCUACCGAUAAGAAAUCAAACACUACAUAAAUUUGUUUAUUUGUGUAUGCUAAACGAGACAGUGAAGCUGACAUUUAUGUACCCAACAGUUUCUGUACUGCAUCAUGUUUCGACAUAUAUGGUAAACUAAAGUAUGCCAAUUAUAAAGAACUCUAAAAGGUGUGUCUGUUUUGAUUACUAAAUUUAAUUUGCAAUCUAAACUUUGAUAAUUUUCCGAUUAAGGCAACUGCAGUUGAAGCUUAAUGUACCAUAAUUGAUUUCUGUUAUCUGCAAUAUCAACAAUACAGAAAGUAUUAAACAACUAUAUUCACUGUUCCAUUAUGUAGAUCUUUUGAUGACCACAGUCCACAGUUUUAAAAUACUACUAAAACAAGCAAUAAUUUCUAAUCUUAUUUGAUUGGCAGCUAGAGUAACCCAGAAAAAUACACCUGGAACAAUUAUGCUAAUAUCAGCUAUAGGAAAUUGGCUUCCCUAAAAAUAGAUAGUAUAUAAAAUUUGGUCUAUAAAAGAAAAUAUAUAGGACCAAUGUGAAUUGAGUCCUGCAGAAGAUAUAUUAGACUCCCAAUUCCGAAUUAAUGUUAAUCUUGAGUGUCAAAGAUACACACAUUUAAUGUUGACACACUUCGAAUAGAAUUACCUCAAGUGGAAGAUACUUAUGGAAACCAAAAAAAAAAAUACAGGAAAUGAGAACAUAAAAGUUUUCAUUUAGAUUUCAUCAUAUUUUGAUUAAUUUGUAUACGAUUUCUAAUAAUUAUUUAAAUCUAGUCAUAGUUACCUUUAUUCUCCUUGACUUUUCCUUACCUAACUGUCGUUGUUUUCCUGUAACUCUUGGUCUGUUUGAAG